CUGGUUGAUCCUGCCGGACCCCACUGCUAUCGGGAUAGGACUAAGACAUGCUAGUCGCGUGCUUCAGCCAAUAAGAGGGACGGCAUACAGCUCAGUAACACGUGGCUAACCUGCCCUUGGGAUAGGAAUACCCCCGGGAAACUGGGACUAAUUCCCAAUAGGUGAAGAACUCUGGAAUGAGUCUCCACCCGAAAAGAGCCUGCGUUAUGCUCGUAGGUUUCGCCCAAGGAUGGGGCCGCGACCGAUCAGGUUGUUGGUGAGGGAAUGGCUCACCAAGCCUUUUAGCGGUGCGGGCCGUGAGAGCGGGAGCCCGGAGAUGGGCACUGAGACAAGGGCCCAGGGCCUACGGGGCGCAGCAGUCGCGAAAACUUUGCAAUACACGAAAGUGUGACAGGGCUAUCCCGAGUGCCAUCCGCUGAGGAAGGCUUUUACCCAGUUUAGAAAUCUGGGGGAAUAAGGAGAGGGCAAGUCUGGUGGCAGCCGCCGCGGUAAUACCAGCUCUCCGAGUGGGUGGGGAUGUUUAUUGGGCCUAAAGCAUCCGUAGCUGGGCUAGGUUAGUCCCCUGUUAAAUCCACCGAAUUAAUCGUUGGAUCGCGGGGGAUACUGCUUNGCUAGGGGACGAGAGAGGCAACNGUAUUUUCCGGGGAAGGGGGGAAAUCUAUAAUCCCGGGAAGACACCAGUGGCGAGGGUGUCUGUAGACGCGCCCGACGGGAG
rnacentral:rRNA from 1 species